rnacentral:rRNA from 1 species
CCUACGGGUGGCAGCAGUGAGGAAUAUUGGUCAAUGGACGAGAGUCUGAACCAGCCAAGUAGCGUGAAGGAUGACUGCCCUCUGGGUUGUAAACUUCUUUUAUAUGGGAAUAAAAUGUUCCACGUGUGGGAUUUUGUAUGUCCCAUAUGAAUAAGGAUCGGCUAACUCCGUGCCAGCAGCCGCGGUAAUCCGGAGGAUCCGAGCGUUAUCCGGAUUUAGUGGGUUGAAAGGGAGAGUAGGUGGAUUGUUAAGGCAGUUGUGAAAGGUUUCGGCUCAACCGUAAGAUUGCAGUUGAAACUGGCAGUCUUGAGUACAGUAGAGGUGGGCGGAAUUCGUGGUGUAGCGGUGAAAUGCUUAGAUAUCACGAAGAACUCCGAUGGCGAAGGCAGCUCACUGGACUGCAACUGACACUGAGGCUCGAAAGUGUGGGUAUCAAACAGGAUUAGAUACCCCUGUAGUC